UACGUAGGGGGCUAGCGUUGUCCGGAAUCAUUGGGCGUAAAGAGCGUGUAGGCGGCUCGGUAAGUCCGCUGUGAAAGUCCAGGGCUCAACCCUGGAAUGCCAGUGGAAACUGUCGAGCUAGAGUCCGGGAAGAGGCGAGUGGAAUUCCUGGUGUAGCGGGUGAAAUGCGCAGAUAUCAGGAGGAACACCAAUGGCGGAAGGCAGCUCGCUGGGACGGUACUGACGCUGAGACGCGAAAGCGUGGGGAGCAAACAGG
rnacentral:rRNA from 1 species